CAGAGGGGGCAAGCGUUAUUCGGAAUUAUUGGGCGUAAAGGGCGCGUAGGCGGCUUUGCAAGUGACGGGUGAAAUCCCUCGGCUUAACCGAGGAACUGCCCGUCAGACUGCAUUGCUCGAGACCGGGAGAGGUGAGUGGAAUUCCCAGUGCAGCGGUGAAAUGCGUAGAUAUUGGGAGGAACACCAGUGGCGAAGGCGACUCACUGGACCGGAACUGACGCUGAGGCGCGAAAGCGUGGGGAGCAAACAGGAUUAGAUACCCUGGUAGUCCACGCCGUAAACGAUGAGUGCUUGGUGUAGCGGGUAUCGACCCCUGCUGUGCCGAAGUCAACACAUUAAGCACUCCGCCUGGGGAGUACGGUCGCAAGACUG
rnacentral:rRNA from 1 species